rnacentral:rRNA from 1 species
AUUGAACGCUGGCGGCAUGCCUUACACAUGCAAGUCGAACGGUAACGGGCCUUCGGGUGCCGACGAGUGGCGAACGGGUGAGUAAUAUAUCGGAACGUGCCCAGUAGUGGGGGAUAGCCCGGCGAAAGCCGGAUUAAUACCGCAUACGACCUACGGGUGAAAGGGGGGGAUCGCAAGACCUCUCGCUAUUUGAGCGGCCGAUAUCAGAUUAGGUAGUUGGUGGGGUAAAGGCCUACCAAGCCUGCGAUCUGUAGUUGGUCUGAGAGGACGACCAGCCACACUGGGACUGAGACACGGCCCAGACUCCUACGGGAGGCAGCAGUGGGGAAUUUUGGACAAUGGGGGCAACCCUGAUCCAGCAAUGCCGCGUGCAGGAAGAAGGCCUUCGGGUUGUAAACUGCUUUUGUCAGGGAAGAAAUCCCCUGGGUUAAUACCUCGGGGGGAUGACGGUACCUGAAGAAUAAGCACCGGCUAACUACGUGCCAGCAGCCGCGGUAACAC